CUGGUGCAAACUCCUUUCCCUCUCUUGUUCUCACUGACUGAACAUAAGCUUCCAGUGCACCGCUGAAAAAAAAAAAAAAAGUAAAGCAGCUAAAGCAAUUAAAUACUGUAAAUUCAGGAUCUGCAACAGAAAUUAAUUGCCUUCUUCCCUCCUGCAGAAUUUUCCUCAGAUGGUCCUACUUGUCUGUGGAAGGAAGUGAGCAAGGAAGGCCUUGUAAAGCUUUGUAUAAUUGUUCUAUGAUCUUUAUCUCCUUUCUUGCACGUUUGAAGAGCAAACAAGUUAACAUUUAAAUAAGCAGCAGCAUGUUGCAGAUGGCUUGAAAUGACAGCUCUGACGCACAGACUCGGGCUCAGUGCUGCACUGGUAACCUUUAGAAAGGGAGAGAAUAAUCUCCAGCUGCUGCAGACGCUGAGAGUGCAACUUCCAGCAUGAAAAGUGGGGCACUGGUGAACAGCCGCCAUGCCCUGAGGUGAUUCCUGGCACAGCUUUUUGAACUCCCAUUGUCCAUCCUCAGAAACACUGCGCUAAGCCCAGACAGGGCUUGAGCAAGGCACGGCCUGGCUCUCAUACAUUGUCACAGGAUAUCACACAGAGAGUCAUCAUGUGUGAACUGCACAAAUAAAACACUGCAAAGCUAAAAGGGGCAACUGUGGUAAUGCUUUACAACACAGGAUCACCUUUCGGCUAACAUUCUAGCACACAGUAUUGUUGAGUGACAGUGUAUUUGUAAAACAAACACUGUAAGUGUUCAUCUGUUGAGAUUCCAACUUACUAAUUCAUUAAGUAGGCCAAGCUAGUGUUGCCACACUUAAAUAUAGCUUGGAAUUUAAUUUUCUUCUCCUUUUCUGCUUCUAUUUCUUCAUGUAACUGAUACGAUCAUCUUGGAGUUUCCUUCUAAAAUUUGCUUAUAUUUGUGCUAUUUACAGCAAAGCUGACAUUAAGAAAAUCCACGAGCAACAGGCCCCAUUUCAAGUGGAGACUAAUACAACUCCUGGCUUCUCCUGGCAUAAGAUGGUAAGAGAGGAGCAGCCAAGAUCCCUGUGUGAUGCUGCAGCUCUGACAAUCCUCAGAUGAGCCCAUCAAACCUGACAAACCAGAGGAGAUGGUAGGAACAUACAGGGUCACAAUACACUUGGGGCCUGUAAGUAAAGCUGCUGCCACAUCAGCAAGGGCUUGGCCCCUCCUCAAUGACUUGAGCCCAUCUGUGUCAAGAGCAUCACUGGGAAUUUCCAGCAAAGUUCAUUUAUCAGCAAGUGGAAGAAGCUCCUGAGGCCUGUGCUCAGUUCACUGGAGAGACGAGUCUGAGCUUUGGGUUCUGAGAAGCCAAUGACAGCUAUGGCAGCCCGGCCCCAUGAGCUGGUCCUGGGGCUGCUCCCGCUCCUGCCAGCACUUCCCAUCCCCAGAAAUGCGCUGAUCCGCCAGCCUCACUGCCAGAGCACCAGGAGGAGCUGGCUGUCCCCACAUACAGUCCCUGUUAAUGGAGUAUGACAGGAGAGACUGAAGCGUGCAACUGUGCAACCAAAGAACCUGAGGCAGCUUCACUUCUGAGCUCAGGAUGGGAAUGAAAUGGCACAGCACGAGGUAAUUCCCACCACAGCUCCUGAUGUCCCUAUGCAGCAUCCAGACCUCACAGUCCCUCUUUGCUGAAGCCCAGGAGAUAUUGUCUAGGGGUACACAAAAGAAGGAUGGAAUGGAUUACUGAACAGUUGAGAUGCUUCAGAAAAAUAAAGUUAUCGAGCACAGAAACAGUUCCUCAUGUUGGCCUUGGUGCACUUGAGAGCUCUUCCAUUUUGAUAACAACUUACUCGUGAGCUACUGCUGAGUAGGGGUUUACACCAGGCACAAAUGCACUGUAAGGAAUCUGAAUUUUUGCACAGCAGCAGACCACAACAGAGAAGUAAUCCCUUGUUUUUUGGAAAGAAUAUUUAUCUUAUCUAGCUAAAGUAAACCUGACUUUUUGCACCUGGUCAGCUCCCUGAAAACCACUCCAGUUGCUCCCUGGGGAGCAGCUCACUUCCUUCCCAGCAAAAGACGUCAGCAUAAUGAACUGCAGAGAGAUUAGGCACAUCCACAGGUUUAUUUUAAAUCCCAUGAUUGAGAGAGAAAAAGUGAGACUGGGGGAAUGGGUCAGCAGGAAAUUGUGCUUUUUAGAUAAACUGGCCUCUUGUAGCAAUGAGAAGCCAGCAUAUGAUGAGCAGACUGAGCAGCAAGAGAGAGAUGCAGGCAGGGAAGGCUCAAGGAUGACAUCAAGGAUGCCAUCCUGAUGAGUGGAGGUGCUUCAGAAGAGUCAGAAAUGUCUCACAUUUCCACUCAGGUGAGCACUCAAGUGCUCUGGUCAGCAGUAAUUGUUAGACAUGUUACAUGUUUGUUACCUGCUACAAAGAAUUGUCUCUUGUAUUAAAAAGACAGCUGAAAAAC